CUUGCUUGGGCCAAGCGGGCAGGGCUGCUCUUAGGAACAAAACCAUGCGAGUUCCAGGCAUGUCCAUACACGGGAGAGAGCCCAGGCUGUGGGACUGGCUGCAGCAUUUAUUCUGGUGUUAACAGCAGCGCUGUUAUUUUUCUUAGAAUGAAGAAUUAAAAUAAAGAAGAGAGGGAGAGAUCAUGUUAAAGCAUUUGUAUUAAUGUCACAACCGCCCUCUUAAACUGCAAAGUUCUUCUGUUACAGAGAAGGGAUGGAGCAAACAGAUAACAAACGGGGACGGAGGAUUUGCAAGCAGCUGUCUGAGAACAAGAGCUAAUAAACUGCAUAGAAAUAUGCAAGCAAAGAUGCAGCUUCCUUGAUCUUUAAUACCACCAGAAAGUCCUCUGGCUGUAAAUGGUCUGCAUUGGGUAACGGAGACAGGCACAGAUGCAAUCCUUCACUUUUUCCACAUCGGUUGCUGCAGUUCAAAGAGAAAAAUAGAAACACAGUGAGGCAGCAGAGGAAGAAAUGGAUCCAAUCUAAAGGGGUCCCCGUCUCCAAACAGGAGAAAUUCUGUUUCCCUUGAUGAGGGUGGGCACACCUCCUCUUAUGGAUGGUGGUUGUGAUUAACGGACUAAUAUUGCACGUGAUGCAAUGCCCUUAUACGUAACACAGGAAACAUAGCUGUGUAGCUAUGUGGCUGUGGCUCUGUGAAUCUGUAAAACAUUGUGAUGUGAGUGCAGUGAGAAGCUGAGAAGAAAAAGUGAGUAAAUUCUGUCUAGACAUCUAAUGUACAAUAAAUUACAUUGAAAUAUAUACGUAUCGUUAACGUAGCUUUGCCAGACUGGAAUGCAUCUUCACGCAGCAUGGCUUUAAGUAUAUUUUAGAGCACCGAUGUAUAAACUGAUGGCACUGGGAUGGGUAGAAAAUUAAAGGUCCUCUAGUAAUGCGGGUGUCAAGAUGCUACGUAAGCACAUUAUGUAUUGCUCUGAUGAAAUGUUGUGUUUUGUUAAGGAGGAGAUGAUGAGGUGACUUCAGCAGCUUCCACGGGAGCUUGGGAUGAGAGCUGUGUGCACCAGUGCUGAUGAGAAGGGUAACAGCAAUUGGGAAGCACCUGGGCACAUUAAUUGCAUAGGAGAGGGUAGUGGGUUGCAGUCAUCUGUUUAGAACAGUUUACCCUGAUGCGAAUAUGAAGUUCAUCCUCUGUUUUCUGAUGGGUUCAUAAUUGUCAGUGAGGGAUGCAGCUGUGUUUGUGUGCAUCCCCAAUGCCCAGAAAUCGCCUCUGCAGAUGUAAGCUGUCUGAUCAUACGUGCAUAUGUAAAAGGGCUUGAAUUGAAACGUGGGGUUUUAAUCAAACAAUGUUUUUUAGAAGUGACACUGAAAUCACUAGAAACAUUUUAACUCUGUACUAAAUGAAUUCUAUUAAUGCUUGGUAUAGGUUUGAGCUAUUGUUGCCAAUAACAAAGCAUCCAGUUUGUACAUUUGUGGUCCCACAGGCAGUAAAACGAACCACCAAAGCAAGGUUUGCAGUGCACAACAAGAAUGAGCAAGUUGCUGUUGUUACAGCCACACAAAUAAAGAGAUGCUGAGCAUCAUUCUUGGUGUAAAUCCCUCCCCAGUGAGACUCAAUCAGUGACUGAAAUGUUAAACCAGUACUCUGGGAGUGUAAUCUUGGGUACUGGGAGAGCUUGGUUAAUUGUGCAAAUUCUCCAGGCUAUUAAAAUCAAAUAUUCAGUAAAUUGCGUGGUGGCUAUGCAGCAAAACCAAGAGCCACAGACCCCUCCUCAGACCCACACGAGGCAAGACCAGAUAGGAAAGAGCAAACGCCUCCAAGAAGAUCA
rnacentral:lncRNA from 1 species